CAAAAAAUUUCAACACGCAAGAUCGAACGGUGCAACCUCCAAAGGAAAACACAAGGCAAUUAUAUUUUCCACUAACACACUUCAACACAAACGAUCAAUCUAAUUACAGUUACAAUUACUAAAUUAGCAACACAUAAAGUAACAGUGAUAGAAGAUAUGCUUGUGGUGCUUUUGGACUCUCCCUUCACCAUCAUCCUCACCAUCAUCCUUCUCAUCUUCUUCUUGCGCUUCGCCCUCGUCUUCAUCUUUCUCCUCCUCCUCUUCAUCUUCUGCGCCAACCUUGUUCAUCUCCUUUUCGACAUCCUCUCCUAUUAGAGAUGCGGUUGCCACGGCAUACUCACCCGGGCACAGAAUAUUUGAGGUCAAACCUUAUAUUUGAUCAGAUAAUCGUUUGUGACGUUUGAAACUAUAAUGGAAUAAAAUAAUUAUUGAUUGAUUAUUCAUACUUUGUAACACCAUUCAAAUAACAUGCACUUUAUAUAAGUGAAGAUUUAUAUGCA